CAUUCCUCCUCUCUUUCUCUUUGUAUUGUCUCAGUUUUACAUAUUCUCUUUAGUCUUUAUCCACUUUAUCUCGUCCCAAAAAAAGCAGUGUUUAAAAUGUAGCUCUCUGAACUGGGCAUGGUGGUGCACACAUGUAACUCCAGCAGUCAGAAGGCUGAGGCAGAAGAAUCCAUGAGGUUUGAGACCAGCACGGGCAACACAGGAAGACCAAAGAUAAGGAAAUUCCAGGACAUGGAAAUGCAAAACGCCCAUGUCAAGAACAGCAAACAGGUCUUCCAAGUUACACAUCUCCAAAGGCAAAGCUUCCCCCAAAAGAUCCAACACCCUCGGGAGUUUCUUACCUGUGGCCCGGUACAGCAGCUUCUGCUCACUUUAGCCAUACUCCACAAGUAGUAAAACAG
rnacentral:lncRNA from 1 species